ACAUCCAGCGAACUUGGCAGAGAUGCCUUGGUGCCUUCGGGAACGCUGAGACAGGUGCUGCAUGGCUGUCGUCAGCUCGUGUUGUGAAAUGUUGGGUUAAGUCCCGCAACGAGCGCAACCCUUAUCCUUUGUUGCCAGCGAUUCGGUCGGGAACUCAAAGGAGACUGCCGGUGAUAAACCGGAGGAAGGUGGGGAUGACGUCAAGUCAUCAUGGCCCUUACGAGUAGGGCUACACACGUGCUACAAUGGCGCAUACAAAGAGAAGCGACCUCGCGAGAGCAAGCGGACCUCAUAAAGUGCGUCGUAGUCCGGAUCGGAGUCUGCAACUCGACUCCGUGAAGUCGGAAUCGCUAGUAAUCGUGGAUCAGAAUGCCACGGUGAAUACGUUCCCGGGCCUUGUACACACCGCCCGUCACACCAUGGGAGUGGGUUGCAAAAGAAGUAGGUAGCUUAACCUUCGGGAGGGCGCUUACCACUUUGCGAUUCAUGACUGGGGUGAAGUCGUAACAAGGUAAGCGUAGCGAG
rnacentral:rRNA from 1 species